UUUUUUUUUACGGUCACCAUUCAAGUUGGGUUGUAGCUAUGACCCCUCUUCUCUUGUUGUAAUCAGGGUUUCUCAACAAGCACCUGAAGAGAUGGAGGUUCAGGUUAGUUCUUUAUUAGUAUUAUACAUAUGAAGCUGAACUUGAUGUGGGUAGGAAUGGAGGUUCAGGUUAGCUAUUUAUUAGUUAUAUAUUAAUCCCUUUUUCUGGUGAUGCAAGGGCUCGUGCGGUGUGUGUGGGAAGCCAAGCGGACCAUGUAUCAUCAAGCCAAGAGAAAAGAGCUUCUUUUGCAUCCAUCUGACGGAACAUUUUGAGGACCAUGUGGUACAAUUCAUUUCUGUUUCUGCUAGUUUUUUUACACAGCAUUAAAUAAGUUUUUAUUUGGGAGUAAGAGUUAAUCAGUUUCCAUUUUGGUUUUUGUUAAUGUUAAUGUUCGUUUUUGUAUGCAUAAGCAGAUCAUUCAGUGCUAUAUCCGUGAGCAGUUCAACAAUUGGACCUCCAACAUCGUAUCUUUGCUGGAUAAGGAAUGGUUUAUGUACACUGUGCAAGUUCAAGUCACUCCCAAUGUCACUUUCUUAAAUGGGAAGAAGUGGCAAGACUUUGUCACUGAUCAUGGUCUUGCUCUGGGAGAUACUCUGACAAUCAAGUUUCCGAAGAACCAAGACGAAAGCAUCUUCAUAACUGACUUCAUAGACAGCAAGGGACACCGCAAGGAAUGACUUGAUAAGACAGGUUCGAUUAAUUGUUCUUUGGUUUUAUCUUUUAUAAUUUCAAUUGUUGAAUUUUUUAAAUUGUUAUUUUAACCUUCAGUCUCUUUUUUUUUGUUUGCAGUCUCUCAUGCAGCUUUCAACGCUGAUGUUGAUUAC
rnacentral:lncRNA from 1 species